AUUGCUAACACAUGGCAGUGCUUUGCACUUGGUCUUCUGCCUAAGGAGGUCCAAGCGAUUUCUAGAAUCAGAGCCUGAAUUCUUCCAAGACUUGGAAAAGAAGCCUGAUGCACUGCUGUCACUGAAAAACAGUGCAGAGAAGGAGAGCAGAGACCUACUCAUGCUUUUAGUUUACACAGCCUCAGAUUCAAUUUCCCUCUGAAGUUCAGAGGCUCCCAAAGCACAAACAUCAACAGCUUUACCCCAGAUUUUAGUUACCAGCAGAACUGGAGGAAGAAGCUAUUUGUGGCACCUUCCCUAUUAAAACACGGAAGUCUUCAGGUCAGAAACACAAUGCUGUACAUUUGCAUUUCAGGUAUCCAGGUCAGUCAGUCAGUCUGGGAAACACGUAGGGCUUCCCCCAUCCUGACUCUCUGCCCUACUUUGCCAUGUUGGGAGCAACACAGCCCCAGCUAGAACCAGUCUCUUCUCUUUAUAGUGGAUGAACUGAAUUUUGUUUUUAGUUCUCAGAGGGCUCAAGUCAACUGUGCUAGAUUAGACUUGAAUUGCUCUACACUUUUGUCAGGAAUAGCCAGAUAUGAGUUAGUUUUGAGGCAAGGUAAUUACAUCCUGAACAGACAGAAUGUUCCCAGGAUAAAUCUCCUCCCAGUUCCCAGCUGGCCAGCUGUAACCAAACUUUCUUUACAGGGUACACACCAGGGCAGGUCAACUGGGGUGUAGGAGAACUGCCCCCCCACAUUAGCACCACCCAAUGAAGUAUGAAUAGCAACUGGAAGGGAAAGUAGCCGCUUGGCUGCACAGCCUCCUGUUCAGACUGCAGCUGGAUCCAGCUUGCUCGUUGCUGAGAUUAGCUUUUCCCACAAGGUGAAUUUCUCCUUGAGUCCAGGAUCUACACAGCCAGGUCUCAAGACUGGUCCCUCCCAGUCCAGAAGGUGAAUGUGGCCGGAAGAAAAAGUCACGAAAGAAUAAAACCCCAAUGGGAGUAAUUCUGCUGCAUGAAUACUUCCUUUCUGAGCUUGGCUAAGAGUUUUGAAACUGCAGUUUGCUAACAGAGGGUGGAGAAGCCAAGUUAAAGCUCAGCCUGCGGAUCCCGACGAGCUGGGUGCUUCAGACAAGCUGCUUUGGAAAAUGCUGUUUCUUACACCCACCGAAAAGUGGAUGACCUCAAUAUCUGGCAUUACAAGCGGUCUCUGAUUUGGACAGCACAUGGACUCAGGUUUUUUCAGCACAACCCAGGGAUCAGCUGGUACCUCCCCUAGCACCGCUCACGAAGGGCAACCUAUCAGCCCUACACGCAAUGGCCCUUCUGUGGAACUUCAUAAGAGCUGGGCACGUGGAAACCACCAGCUUUUAAAAUGCCACAUUCUUCUUGUUAUCUGUGUUUGGUUUGGCACAUUUUCUCCAAGAAAUAGGCCUGUUAGCACCUUUUCUCCUAA